rnacentral:lncRNA from 1 species
UUUGUUGCCAUAGUUAAGCGUCCUUAAGUUCAAAGGGCACAAACCGAAACUAUACCGACUACGUCGGAAAAAGAAUAAAAGUAGAUGUGACAACAUGAAACCUCUAUGUUUUCAUAGGGGGUCACCAUGUGACAGUGCCAAACCGAUCACAUCCUCACUGAUAAACCAGAGGUGCAAUAAAUAAAACUAUCAAGCUUUUAUAUUCUUCACAUUUGUCUUGUAAACAAAUUAUUUAUUCAAUACACUGAGAUCACUCUUGAAUAAAUUAUCACAAUGAUAUGAAUGAAGCUACAAAAAAAAGGAAUAUGUGAACAAUAAAAAUAAAUAAAUUAAUACAAAAUAUGUACUGAACAAUAAACAUCCUUUAAAUAAGUACAAUUAAAUGAAUAAUGAACACAAUAAAAACAACAAAUGUCACAAGGAAUGAGCUAACAAUUUUUAUGAUCUUUUAUGGAUGUAUGAAAAAAAAACAGUAUAUUGUUGAACCC